rnacentral:rRNA from 1 species
UACGUAGGGAGCAAGCGUUGUCCGGAAUCAUUGGGCGUAAAGCGCGCGUAGGUGGCCUCAUAAGUUCGCUGUGAAAGUCAAAGGCUCAACCUUUGAAAGCCGGUGGAUACUGUGAGGCUAGAGUACGGAAGAGGCGAGUGGAAUUCCUGGUGUAGCGGUGGAAUGCGCAGAUAUCAGGAGGAACACCAAUAGCGAAGGCAGCUCGCUGGGACGUUACUGACACUGAGGCGCGAAAGCGUGGGGAGCGAACAGG